rnacentral:rRNA from 1 species
UACGGAGGGUGCGAGCGUUGUCCGGAAUCAUUGGGCGUAAAGGGCGCGUAGGUGGCCCGGUCAGUCUUUGGUGAAAGCGCGGGGCUCAACCCUGCGUCGGCCAGGGAUACUGCCGCGGCUCGAGCACUGUAGAGGCAGGCGGAAUUCCGGGUGUAGCGGUGGAAUGCGUAGAGAUCCGGAAGAACACCGGUGGCGAAGGCGGCCUGACUGGGCAGUUUAGCUGACACUGAGGCGCGACAGCGUGGGGAGCAAACAGG